rnacentral:lncRNA from 1 species
UUACCAAUAAAGUUACAGAUAUGAAUAUUAAUUUUUUUUAUCCAAAAAAUUAUGGAUAAAAUGUGUAGGUAUAUGUUAAGUUGUGAGCAUUUAGGGUGCGUUUGGUUCGCAUUAUGAAAAAUUACUAGGAAUGAAAAGAUGUCCGAAAAUUUUAUUUCUAUUCAUCCUAUUACUAAGAAUGUUGAAUUUCUGUGUUUGGUUCGCACGGUCAUAUUAUUUAACCAUGUUAUUUAAAAUUAAAAAAAAUAUACAAUUAAUUAAUUUAUUUUUUAAUUAAUUUUAUAUAAUACUAUAAAAAAUAUUAGCAUCUUUUUAGAAAAAAGGGAGAGAGAGUAUAGGUUAAAGAGAGAGAGCAUAAUUAAAAAAAAAUAGAGAGAGAAAUAGAGUCGAAAUUAGAGGGAGUGAGAGAGUUGAGAUUUUAGAAAAAGAUAGAGAGAGAAAGCUUAGUUUAGAGAGAGAAAAAAAUUAAAUUUUAGAGAGAAAGAUAAGUUUAGAAAGAGAUAUGAGGUUAAAAGUAAAGAAAAAUAAUACUAAUUAGCUGGCCGGUAGGGAGAAAGAAAGAGAUUAGACAUAUUAGGAUUACCCCAAUUCAUUAAUAUGAGAAUAUCCACCCUCCCUCAAGGGAAUAAGAUUAGUAUUUUGGGAUGAAUCUUAUUCCCAAGUAAAUCUAAUAUUACCAACUAGAUUACUUAGUGCGUUUAGCCAAACACCGUCAUAUUUUUUUUAUUCCUACUGGAUUAUUAGGAAUCUUUAAAAGAUAGCGUGAACCAAACGCACCCUUAGGGUAAUCAGUGGAUACCCACAGGUACUCGUAUAUAUUUUUUGAAUUAAAAAAAAUAAUCUUUAUGAUAUUUCAUGAUCAUGAAAAAUUUUAUUAAUUUUGUUGCAUAAAAAUUUGUAAUGAUAAAAUACUUUUAUAUUAUAUAAUUUAUGCAUUUUAAGAUUUUAUAUUAUUUAUUAUAUGUUAUGAUGUUUAAAUAAUAAGUUAUGCUAUACUUUUAAAAAUUAUAUAUACGUGUUUUGUAUUUGGGAAAUAUAAGAGUAAAAAAAAAAAAUCUUGCCGGUAACCUGCAUAUUGGCCGGGUAUGGAUAAAAAUGCUAACUAUCUAAAAGUUUACAGAUAAAUUCUAUUCAUAUUCAUAUGACCUGCAAGUAUAAUGAUCGAUUCUAUUCAUAUUCAUACGACCUGCAAGUAUAAUGAUCCAUCAGUGAGUUAUCCAACAU